rnacentral:rRNA from 1 species
CCUACGGGAGGCAGCAGUGGGGAAUUGUUCACAAUGGGCGCAAGCCUGAUGACGCAACGCCGCGUGGGGGAUGAAGGUCUUCGGAUCGUAAACCCCUGUCGAAUGGGACGAAUAGUCUCCGGAUCAAUACCCCGGAGGAAUGACGGUACCGUUAAAGGAAGCCACGGCUAACUCUGUGCCAGCAGCCGCGGUAAUACAGAGGUGGCAAGCGUUGUUCGGAAUUACUGGGCGUAAAGGGCGCGUAGGCGGCCAUCUAAGUCAGACGUGAAAUCCCCCGGCUCAACCUGGGAACUGCGUCUGAUACUGGAAGGCUAGAGUUUGGGAGAGGGAUGUAGAAUUCCAGGUGUAGCGGUGAAAUGCGUAGAUAUCUGGAGGAAUACCGGUGGCGAAGGCGGCAUCCUGGACCAAUACUGACGCUGAGGCGCGAAAGCUAGGGGAGCAAACGGGAUUAGAUACCCCGGUAGUCCUAGCCCUAAACGAUGAAUACUUGGUGUGGCGGGUAUCGAUCCCUGCCGUGCCGAAGCUAACGCAUUAAGUAUUCCGCCGUGGGGAGGUACGGUCGCGAGCGUGAACGUACGAAGAAGUUAGACGGCGUGAGACGUGCCGACGGACGACGACGACGGGAGGAGG